rnacentral:rRNA from 1 species
GAUGAACGCUGGCGGCGUGCCUAAUACAUGCAAGUCGAGCGAACAGAUGAGGAGCUUGCUCCUCUGACGUUAGCGGCGGACGGGUGAGUAACACGUGGAUAACCUACCUAUAAGACUGGGAUAACUUCGGGAAACCGGAGCUAAUACCGGAUAAUAUAUUGAACCGCAUGGUUCAAUAGUGAAAGACGGUUUUGCUGUCACUUAUAGAUGGAUCCGCGCCGCAUUAGCUAGUUGGUAAGGUAACGGCUUACCAAGGCAACGAUGCGUAGCCGACCUGAGAGGGUGAUCGGCCACACUGGAACUGAGACAAGGUCCAGACUCCUACGGGAGGCAGCAGUAGGGAAGCUUCCGCAAUGGGCGAAAGCCUGACGGAGCAACGCCGCGUGAGUGAUGAAGGUCUUCGGAUCGUAAAACUCUGUUAUUAGGGAAGAACAAAUGUGUAAGUAACUAUGCACGUCUUGACGGUACCUAAUCAGAAAGCCACGGCUAACUACGUG